rnacentral:rRNA from 1 species
UAGGGAAUCUUCCACAAUGGACGAAAGUCUGGUGGAGCAACGCCGCGUGAGUGAAGAAGGGUUUCGGCUCGUAAAACUCUGUUGUUAAAGAAGAACAUAUCUGAGAGUAACUGUUCAGGUAUUGACGGUAUUUAACCAGAAAGCCACGGCUAACUACGUACCAG